CCUACGGGGUGCAGCAGUGAGGAAUAUUGGUCAAUGGCCGGAAGGCUGAACCAGCCAAGCCGCGUGAAGGACGAAGGUGCCAAGCAUUGUAAACUUCUUUUGUCAAGGGACAAAAUCAGGCUCGAGAGCCUGACCGAGGGUACUUGAAGAAAAAGCAUCGGCUAACUCCGUGCCAGCCGCCGCGGUAAUACGGAGGAUGCGAGCGUUAUCCGGAUUUAUUGGGUUUAAAGGGUGCGUAGGCGGGCUGUUAAGUCCGCGGUAAAAGCCCGGGGCUCAAACCCGGCGAGCCGUUGAAACUGGCUGUCUUGGGAUGUCGAGAGGUAUGCGGAAUGCGCAGUGUAGCGGUGAAAGGCUUAGAUAUUGCGCAGAACUCCGAUUGCGAAGGCAGCAUACCGGCGGCGAUCUGACGCUGAGGCACGAAAGCGUGGGUAUCGAACAGGAUUAGAUACCCGAGUAGUC
rnacentral:rRNA from 1 species